AUUGAACGCUGGCGGCAUGCUUUACACAUGCAAGUCGAACGGUAACAGGCCGCAAGGUGCUGACGAGUGGCGAACGGGUGAGUAAUGCAUCGGAACGUGCCCAGUCGUGGGGGAUAACGCAGCGAAAGCUGCGCUAAUACCGCAUACGAUCUAUGGAUGAAAGCGGGGGAUCGCAAGACCCCGCGCGAUUGGAGCGGCCGAUGGCAGAUUAGGUAGUUGGUGGGGUAAAGGCCUACCAAGCCGACGAUCUGUAGCUGGUCUGAGAGGACGACCAGCCACACUGGGACUGAGACACGGCCCAGACUCCUACGGGAGGCAGCAGUGGGGAAUUUUGGACAAUGGGCGCAAGCCUGAUCCAGCCAUUCCGCGUGCAGGAUGAAGGCCCUCGGGUUGUAAACUGCUUUUGUACAGAACGAAAAGGCUCUGGUUAAUACCUGGGGCUCAUGACGGUACUGUAAGAAUAAGCACCGGCUAACUACGUGCCAGCCGCCGCCGUAACAC
rnacentral:rRNA from 1 species